rnacentral:lncRNA from 1 species
GUCAGGGUGAGGUCACACUGGUAUAGGGUGGGCCUUAGUCCAGUAUUUCUGUUGUCCUUUGAAAAAUAAUGCCAUGCGGAGAUGAGGACACACAUUUAAGGCAGACACUGGGUGAAGCAUCUACAAGCCGGGGAACACGGAGUGUAACCUGCAGGCACCAGAAGCUGGACAGAUGCCAGGAAUAGAUUCUUCCUCAGAGGGAGCCCGCCCUGCUGACUCCUGGAUUUUGUAUUUGGCCGUGGUCUCUGGGCCUGUGCAGAAUGCGUUUUUAUGUUUCCUGCCCAGCUUGCUAUCCUUGGAGUGGCAGCCCCAGCUGGUAUUAUACCAGUGUCCAGUGUCUCUGACAAUAGCCACACACCUGUCCUAACAGCAGCAUUCAUGAGGGAGCUGCAUCUAAGUCGCCUGAGGCCUGGGCACCCUGGUGAGGGCUGCAGGAUGCUCGUCUUCCCCGGUGUGCUCCUGUCCACUAGCACGCCCACAACGGACAGUGUCCUCCCGUCGCCCUGGGGUGUGCUCAAGGGCCUGGGUGGCAGUGCCCUCCAUACUGCCAGUGAGGGGCGUGAUAAGAGAGCUAAGUGGAACCAUCGCCUGCGACAGACGACAGCGAGAAGACACACACCCCUGAA